rnacentral:rRNA from 1 species
UUAGUACGAAAUAACAUCUACGGGGUAUUAAUGUUUUUGCCUAAACCCAAAGAACAUGGCGGCUACUCUAACAGUUAGGGGAACUUACCUAAUAAUUGAUAACCACCACGUUUCAUUACUUAAAAUAAUAUUUUGUAUGCCGUCGUCGUCAGACAUAAUACUAUAUUAUGUCUGGUUAGUAACCUAAAAAGACAGAUCAAGGUGCAGACAAUUUUUAAGUUAAGGCGAGUUACAGUAGUAUUUUACUUCAAAAUCACUAGUAAAUAGUGCCACAGUCGGACUUAAAAGUAAAAUAAAUUCUAAAUAUUAUUUGAAUAAUACUAGCGUUGUGC